rnacentral:siRNA from 1 species
UCGUGGGUGAUUAGCACAUUGU